rnacentral:rRNA from 1 species
AACACAUGCAAGUCGUACUAGAAAUCCUCUGCUUGCAGGGGAGAGUAAAGUGGCGCACGGGUGAGUAUCGCGUGGGUAAUCUACCCUUGAAUUCAGGAUAACACUUCGAAAGGGGUGCUAAUACUGGAUAACAUCUUGAUGGUUUAGGCCAUAAGGAUCAAAGAUAGCCUCUACAUGUAAGCUAUAGUUCAGGGAUGAGCCCGCGUACCAUUAGCUAGUUGGUGGGGUAAGAGCCUACCAAGGCAACGAUGGUUAGCUGGUCUGAGAGGAUGAUCAGCCACACUGGAACUGAAACACGGUCCAGACUCCUACGGGAGGCAGCAGUGAGGAAUUUUGCGCAAUGGGGGAAACCCUGACGCAGCAACGCCGCGUGAGUGAAGAAGGCUUUCGGGUCGUAAAGCUCUGUCAAGAGGGAAGAAAGUGGGAGAUGGUAAUACUGUUUUCUAUUGACGGUACCUCUGAAGGAAGCACCGGCUAACUCCGUGCCAGCAGCCGCGGUAAUACGGGGGGUGCAAGCGUUAUUCGGAUUUAUUGGGCGUAAAGAGCGCGUAGGCGGUUUAUCAAGUCAGAUGUGAAAGCCCUGGGCUCAACCUGGGAAGUGCAUUUGAAACUAGUAGACUUGAGUAUGGGAGAAGGAAAGUGGAAUUCCUGGUGUNNAGGUGAAAUUCUNNAUNUCANGAGGAACACCNGUGGCGAAGGCGACUUNCUGGACCAAU